rnacentral:lncRNA from 1 species
CUGGCAAGGUGGUCGCGCAAUAGUUCGGCCGCCGUAUAGUCCAUGUAUUCCGUGCUGCCUUGCAUCUGCUUGAGGCCUUGAAAACUUUUCGGGUUUCUAGAACUGUAGUACUUUCGUUUUUAUUUGAUAAAUAUUAUUCAAUCAUGGAGUAACUAGGUUUAAAAGAUUUAUCUCAUAAUUUACAGAUAAACUGUGUAAUUAGUUUUUAUUUUCGUCUAUAUUUAAUGCUCCAUACAUAUGCCGCAAGAUUUGAUGUGAGAGGAAAUCUUGAAAAGAUUUUGGUUUUUGGGUCAACUAAACAAUCUCGCUAGUAGGGCGAUCGGCACUCUCUGUAAAACUUUAAUUGCUUCCUGCUUUAUGCCUUGUUUAGUUCACCCAAAAAACUUAAAACUUUUUAAGAUUCUUCGUUACAUCGAACCUUGUAGCACAUGUAUGAAGCACUAAAUAUAGAUAAAAAUAAAAAUUAAUUACACAGUUUGUCUGUAAAUUGCGAGACAAAUCUUUUAAGCCUAGUUACUCCAUGAUUGGACAAUGUUUGUCAAAUAAAAACAAAAGUGCUACAAUAUCGUUUUCUAAAAAAAAAAUAAAACUAAACAAAGUCUUAAUAAAUACAGGCACAACGCCUGAUCGAGAAAAAAAACCAAACUGGCUAGCUAGCUUGUCAGAUGGGUUGAAUCUUGGGUAUUCCUUUGUUAGUGUCUAGUGAGUCGUCAUUCAGCUGUUGCCUCUAACCUUACGACCGACGUGCACCUUCGCCGGUCGCCAUGUAAGCAUAGCAUAGAGAUAGAGGUCGCGCCCGCGCUGCAUGUCCCACGCUGCCAGGAGCUUAGGACACUGGAAACCAGCAGUACCGCCACCACGUCAUGUCUGGUAGGCUAGGGUG